rnacentral:rRNA from 1 species
GAUGAACGCUGACAGAAUGCUUAACACAUGCAAGUCAACUUGAACUUCGGUUUGGGUGGCGGACGGGUGAGCAACGCGUAAAGAACUUGCCUCACAGCUAGGGACAACAUUUAGAAAUGAAUGCUAAUACCUGAUAUUAUGAUUUUAAGGCAUCUUAGAAUUAUGAAAGCUAUAAGCACUGUGAGAGAGCUUUGCGUCCCAUUAGCUAGUUGGAGAGGUAACAGCUCACCAAGGCAAUGAUGGGUAGCCGGCCUGAGAGGGUGAACGGCCACAAGGGGACUGAGACACGGCCCUUACUCCUACGGGAGGCAGCAGUGGGGAAUAUUGGACAAUGGACCAAGAGUCUGAUCCAGCAAUUCUGUGUGCACGAUGAAGUUUUUCGGAAUGUAAAGUGCUUUCAGUUGGGAAGAAAAAAAUGACGGUACCAACAGAAGAGGUGACGGCUAAAUACGUGCCAGCAGCCGCGGUAAUACGUAUGUCACGAGCGUUAUCCGGAUUUAUUGGGCGUAAAGCGCGUCUAGGUGGUUAUGUAAGUCUGAUGUGAAAAUGCAGGGCUCAACUCUGUAUUGCGUUGGAAACUGUAUAACUAGAGUACUGGAGAGGUAGGCGGAACUACAAGUGUAGAGGUGAAAUUCGUAGAUAUUUGUAGGAAUGCCGAUGGGGAAGCCAGCUUACUGGACAGAUACUGACGCUAAGCGCGAAAGCGUGGGUAGCAAACAGG